UACGGGGGGGGUAAGCGUUGUUCGGAAUUACUGGGCGUAAAGGGCUCGUAGGCGGCCAACUAAGUCAGACGUGAAAUCCCUCAGCUUAACUGAGGAAGUGCAUCCGAAACUGGCAGGCUAGAGUACUAAAGAGGGUCGCGGAAUUCCCGGUGUAGAGGUGAAAUUCGUAGAUAUCGGGAGGAACACCGGUGGCGAAGGCGGCGACCUGGGUAGAUACUGACGCUGAGGUGCGAAAGCGUGGGGAGCAAACAGG
rnacentral:rRNA from 1 species